AGAGUUUGAUCAUGGCUCAGAUUGAACGCUGGCGGCAGGCCUAACACAUGCAAGUCGAACGGUAACAGAAAGCAGCUUACUGCUUUGCUGACGAGUGGCGGACGGGUGAGUAAUGUCUGGGAAACUGCCUGAUGGAGGGGGAUAACUACUGGAAACGGUAGCUAAUACCGCAUAAUGUCGCAAGACCAAAGAGGGGGACCUUCGGGCCUCUUGCCAUCGGAUGUGCCCAGAUGGGAUUAGCUAGUAGGUGGGGUAACGGCUCACCUAGGCGACGAUCCCUAGCUGGUCUGAGAGGAUGACCAGCCACACUGGAACUGAGACACGGUCCAGACUCCUACGGGAGGCAGCAGUGGGGAAUAUUGCACAAUGGGCGCAAGCCUGAUGCAGCCAUGCCGCGUGUAUGAAGAAGGCCUUCGGGUUGUAAAGUACUUUCAGCGGGGAGGAAGGGAGUAAAGUUAAUACCUUUGCUCAUUGACGUUACCCGCAGAAGAAGCACCGGCUAACUCCGUGCCAGCAGCCGCGGUAAUACGGAGGGUGCAAGCGUUAAUCGGAAUUACUGGGCGUAAAGCGCACGCAGGCGGUUUGUUAAGUCAGAUGUGAAAUCCCCGGGCUCAACCUGGGAACUGCAUCUGAUACUGGCAAGCUUGAGUCUCGUAGAGGGGGGUAGAAUUCCAGGUGUAGCGGUGAAAUGCGUAGAGAUCUGGAGGAAUACCGGUGGCGAAGGCGGCCCCCUGGACGAAGACUGACGCUCAGGUGCGAAAGCGUGGGGAGCAAACAGGAUUAGAUACCCUGGUAGUCCACGCCGUAAACGAUGUCGACUUGGAGGUUGUGCCCUUGAGGCGUGGCUUCCGGAGCUAACGCGUUAAGUCGACCGCCUGGGGAGUACGGCCGCAAGGUUAAAACUCAAAUGAAUUGACGGGGGCCCGCACAAGCGGUGGAGCAUGUGGUUUAAUUCGAUGCAACGCGAAGAACCUUACCUGGUCUUGACAUCCACGGAAGUUUUCAGAGAUGAGAAUGUGCCUUCGGGAACCGUGAGACAGGUGCUGCAUGGCUGUCGUCAGCUCGUGUUGUGAAAUGUUGGGUUAAGUCCCGCAACGAGCGCAACCCUUAUCCUUUGUUGCCAGCGGUCCGGCCGGGAACUCAAAGGAGACUGCCAGUGAUAAACUGGAGGAAGGUGGGGAUGACGUCAAGUCAUCAUGGCCCUUACGACCAGGGCUACACACGUGCUACAAUGGCGCAUACAAAGAGAAGCGACCUCGCGAGAGCAAGCGGACCUCAUAAAGUGCGUCGUAGUCCGGAUUGGAGUCUGCAACUCGACUCCAUGAAGUCGGAAUCGCUAGUAAUCGUGGAUCAGAAUGCCACGGUGAAUACGUUCCCGGGCCUUGUACACACCGCCCGUCACACCAUGGGAGUGGGUUGCAAAAGAAGUAGGUAGCUUAACCUUCGGGAGGGCGCUUACCACUUUGUGAUUCAUGACUGGGGUGAAGUCGUAACAAGGUAACCGUAGGGGAACCUGCGGUUGGAUCACCU
rnacentral:rRNA from 1 species